UGUAAAAUAAUUCAUCCAAUUUUACUAUUAAAAACUGGUGUGCUUGACGGAAUAACUAGAUAGUAACACAUGAUGUGCCACUUUCACCUUUGCUAGCAUACAUGGACUGGUUUUUAACAUUAAAUAGAUGAAUUUUUUAACA
rfam:Gossypium hirsutum cultivar TM-1 chromosome 24, whole genome shotgun sequence